rnacentral:rRNA from 1 species
AUUUGAAGGGACCUGCUCCUAGUACGAGAGGACCGGAGUGGACGUAUCUCUGGUGGACCGGUUGUCAUGCCAAUGGCAUAGCCGGGUAGCUAAAUACGGAAGAGAUAAACGCUGAAAGCAUCUAAGCGUGAAACUCGCCUCAAGAUAAGAUAUCCCGGGGGUUUAACCCCCCUGAAGGGUCGUCGUAGACCACGACGUUGAUAGGCCGGGUGUGGAAGCGCAGCAAUGCGUUAAGCUAACCGGUACUAAUUGCCCGUGCGGCUUGACCCU